GGUAGUAUAUGUAUUACAGUAACAUUGUAACUAUGUGGAAAAUUAUGAAGAGUAAAUACAGCAGUUGAUAGGCACAUUUAUGUACAGUCAAGUGCAAAAAUAUGUAUCGAAAUAAUCGUCUCAUAAAUAUGGUACUACGCUCUUAUUACACUGGAAUAAGAUGCUAUGGGAUAUAUUUUUGAGUAAGAUGUGUAGGUACACCCAUAUUUUUACACUUGACUGUACAUAUACGCAUAAGAGAAUAAAAUACUAAAUUUACGAUGCAUCCUUACAAUAUGACAUAGUUACAUGCUUCUGGGUCGUUAAUUUUUAUUAUUUUGUGCAAGCAAAUAUUUUGUAGAGAAGAUACUUUGUUCUGAAAUGUAUUUGACCCUAAAAUGAAUGACGAAAUAUAAAUAUCCGAUGUUUGCGAUAGGCCCUCAUCUGCCAAACAUAUGUUUGACAAGAAAUAGAUAAAAUAAAGAAAAUACAAAAUUCAUGGAAAUAUGUGACGUGACGUCCCACUUUGUUGAGUUAUUCGUAUAAAGAUAUCUGUGAUAAAGAUACAAGCAAAUCCUUAUGGCAAGCGACAAAGUGGGACGUUUUGCCGGCCGCGGUCACAUAUUUCCAUGAAUUUUGUAUUUUCUUUAUUUUAUCUAUUUCUUUUUUUAGCAUAAGAAAGAACGUUUGGUUCCAAUUCAAGCACAUUUUGCGAUAUUCUUUCGAAGUAAAUUGUAAAUAUUGUCCAUGCUACAUUCGAUAUUUCCAUUAAUAUUAUGAAUUCGAGAGCUUGUCAAAAUCUGCAUGCUUACUUCUGUGGAGUUCUUUCUGUACCCCUAGUGUAAAUUUAAUCGACAUCAUAACGUGACGAACGCGUUUGCGUUAAGUCUCAUUUUGUAUAGGAUUUUGAGUUUCCAAAACGUCCCGCUUGGCGCGCUCUUUCUAAAUCUAUAUAAAUGAGACUAAACGCAAACGCGUACGUCACGUUUCGAAAUCGAAUUUAUUUACACUAGGGGUACUGAUGUAAAAAUAACGAAGUAUAGCUCCAAAUACGUUUUAUUGUGCAUUCUACGAACUAAUAAACAGAAGUUUAUUCCAAAAUAUUCAGAAAACCGUUCUUUUUUCGUGGAGUAGGUAAAAAACGUGCGAGUGAACGAAUUAUAAAAUAAACUAGGUAAUAAAGAAAAGUAAUGCUACUGUUGAAGACAAGACGCGUUAAAAUGUCACAAAAAUAACUGUUAUAACAGCGAAAACUAUUUCUGCCACACUUUGACGCGGAUAAAGCUGCAAACAUUUUUAUACUUCAAAUUAAAUGUCGUAAUAUUACGUUUUCUCGUUAUUUUUGAUGCGUUACUAACGUGAUAUCAUGUCUGUAUUAAACGCUCCUGUAUGUUUAUUUUAACUUUCAGAAACGACAUACACAUGUCAGUUUGAUUUACUAUUUGUCACUCACUGGCACAUAAUUUUUUUAGUAGAUCAGCCAAAACUUGUAAAUUAGUCAUACAAAUACGAAUAUGGCUGACUUCGUUAUACACGUUACCUAACUAUGUGAUUUAUCAACAGACAUAAGUUUUUGUGGCAAAAACGAGUCUUUAAAAAAAUUAAACAUCGGUAAUUCUGAUAUCGAUAAGUUAGUCAUAGAUUAAUAAUUAAGAGAUGUAAAUACUACUUGCUGGUAAUUACCGAGAAAUUUCAAGAAUGAAACUUAAUUACAAAUCUUUACAUAAUUUCUUUAUUACAUUUAUUU